rnacentral:rRNA from 1 species
AACGAACGCUGGCGGCAUGCCUAACACAUGCAAGUCGAACGAGACCUUCGGGUCUAGUGGCGGACGGGUGAGUAACGCGUGGGAACCUGCACUUCAGUGGGGGAUAACGACGGGAAACUGUCGCUAAUACCGCAUACGCCCUACGGGGGAAAGAUUUAUCGCUGAAGGAUGGGCCCGCGUCGGAUUAGCUAGUUGGUGAGGUAAUGGCUCACCAAGGCGACGAUCCGUAGCUGGUCUAAGAGGAUGAUCAGCCACACUGGGACUGAGACACGGCCCAGACUCCUACGGGAGGCAGCAGUGGGGAAUAUUGGACAAUGGGGGAAACCCUGAUCCAGCAAUGCCGCGUGAGUGAUGAAGGCCUUAGGGUUGUAAAGCUCUUUCGGUGGUGACGAUGAUGACGGUAACCACAGAAGAAGCCCCGGCUAACUUCGUGCCAGCAGCCGCAGUAAAAC